UACGUAGGGGGGCAAGCGUUGUCCGGAAUUAUUGGGCGUAAAGAGCUCGUAGGCGGUCUGUCGCGUCUGCUGUGAAAAUCCAGGGCUCAACCCUGGACCUGCAGUGGGUACGGGCAGACUAGAGUGCGGUAGGGGGAGAUCGGAAUUCCUGGUGUAGCGGUGAAAUGCGCAGAUAUCAGGAGGAACACCGGUGGCGAAGGGCGGAUC
rnacentral:rRNA from 1 species